rnacentral:rRNA from 1 species
UACGUAGGGGGCAAGCGUUGUCCGGAAUCAUUGGGCGUAAAGCGCGCGUAGGCGGCCCGGUAAGUCCGCUGUGAAAGUCCAGGGCUCAACCCUGGAAAGCCGGUGGAUACUGCCGGGCUAGAGUCCGGAAGAGGCGAGUGGAAUUCCUGGUGUAGCGGUGGAAUGCGCAGAUAUCGGGAAGAACACCCGUGGCGAAGGCGGUUCUCUGGGACGGUACUGACGCUGAGACGCGAAAGCGUGGGGAGCGAACAGG